AGUGAACGCUGGCGGCAGGCCUAACACAUGCAAGUCGAGCGGCAGCGGGCUGUAGCAAUACAGUGCCGGCGAGCGGCGGACGGGUGAGGAAUACAUCGGAAUCUACCUUGUCGUGGGGGAUAACGUAGGGAAACUUACGCUAAUACCGCAUACGAACUACGGUUGAAAGCGGAGGACCGCAAGGCUUCGCGCGAUUGGAUGAGCCGAUGUCGGAUUAGCUAGUUGGCGGGGUAAUGGCCCACCAAGGCGACGAUCCGUAGCUGGUCUGAGAGGAUGAUCAGCCACACUGGAACUGAGACACGGUCCAGACUCCUACGGGAGGCAGCAGUGGGAAUAUUGGACAAUGGGCGAAAGCCUGACGCAGCGACGCCGCGUGGGUGAUGAAGGCCUU
rnacentral:rRNA from 1 species